rnacentral:siRNA from 1 species
GUUAGUGCACCCUCUAUCAGGA